rnacentral:lncRNA from 1 species
CUCCAAUCCUUUUGCUCUAUAACAAAAGGAACAUCCUCGUCUGUCCCUGCUGCCUGAUUAUAAAGGAACAUCCUUGUCUGUCCCUGCUGCCUGAUUAUAAAGGAACAUCCUCGUCUGUCCCUGCUGCCUGAUUAUAAAGGAACAUCCUCGUCUGUCCCUGCUGCCUGAUUCAAAGCACUCUGCCUCUUUAUCAGACAAUUAGGAUUAGCUGUAGUCAGUAGCAUCACGGAGGGUGAAUCCACACACGCACACACACACACACACACACAGUUACAUAACAGGCUUCUGGUGGUGCAUAUGUUAUCUGCUCCUCUUCCCCAAGAAGCUCUCACACACACACACACACACAGACACUCUACCCACACACUACACAUACAUACUACACUCUACAUCUGUGAUCUUCUCUUUUAGCUUACUUCUCAUUUUUAUAAUUUUAAAAAUGCAUGAGGUGUCUCUGGCAGGGGGUUGAUGCAUUAUUUGGGAUUUAGAAGUGUUAAUAACUAGGAAAGUGUUUUGGUUCUUUGAGAAGCUAGUAGUUGAGUGUGGUUGAACCAUACGGUUGUGUUGCUGUGUGGCUUUGCACUAUGGGACUCAUUUAUUAAGACUAGAUCACAGCUUAGGUGGGUUUAUUCUAAAGGUUUUAGGUGGGUCACUGACUGCACAAAACUGCCUCGGGACACACACACACAAACACAGCUGAUCACAGAGGAGCCACAUGUCAAGUCACGCUCUGAGAGAGGAGAUAUGAAGCCAGACAGGGAAAAAUACAGGAGGAGUAUGACUGGAAUGCACAUCAACAACAGACUGAGUUCCCCGCGGGGCCACCCUGUCCUGUAACCAAUGGCAACAUCGGUCCAAACCCUUCCUCUGACCCGCAACCCCAGCAAGACAUUCCGUGAUCCCAUCUCGACCCCUACCCGGUCCACAGCCCUAUUGGACCGGUUCAGUAUGGGUAGUGUAGGCAGCCUAGUGGAGCGCCCAGACGCGUCCCCAGCUAAAGGCAGCCGGGCCGUGCCCCAGGUGGGACCCAGGCAGACCAACAGGAUAUUAAAGAAAGGUUUCAACCAGAGAGAGUUGCUCAACUACCUCAACAUUACCAGGAAAGAGGCCAAAGCGGGUAGCGGCCCAGGCAGCAGUAGGAAGGACAUCUUCUCCAGCAUGCAGUCCAUGAAGAGAGAGCAUGGACAUGAGGAGGAACACAUCAAGAUCUACCACAAAGACAGAACUGAGGUGGGCGUGUCAAAGAACUCACUGCCCAUUAGAGGGAAAUAUGAGAAGUCUCUUCCCAGGCCGUCUGCCUUCAAGCUGGUCACACCCAAGAACUUCAGUUCCAUGCAGAACCUCUACCCUGCCAAGAUAGAGGACUCAGACCAGGGCCUGUCCAACGGGCUCCACCGGGCCUACGCACACACACCUAGAGCUGUCUCUACCUCCUCUUCCUCCUCCUCACCCUCCCGCCAUGGAGGACCCACCUCCAGCGGAGCCAAGGCGGUGGCGUCAGUGCGUGGUCUGAGUCAGGAGGAUGAUGAUGAUGAUGAUAACAGCUGGUAUUAAUGUUGUGAUACAGGCGGUGGCGUCAGUGCGUGGUCUGAGUCAGGAGGAUGAAGGACACAAGACACAGAGCGACACCAGACCAGAGAGGACACACGAACAUCGAAGAGAGACCACAAGACAC